GUUGCAUUGAAGGAGGAGGGGGGGCCCGGGCAAGAGGAGUCAGCCCCAGGCCGUCUGUCCCUCCAGGCCUCAUGCCCUUGCGGCCAGGCCUUUGCCCUCCCUGCUCCUGUCCUGAGAGGCUCUGGCAACAGGAGGAUUUUUUCAGGAGAGCAGGGCCAGCUCCUCAGAGGUAGGUGGGCCCUGGUGGAAGGGGGUGGGAGAGGCAAGGAGGAUGGGACAGGGCUGAGGCCCGCAUCAGAGGGAAGGCCAGGCCUCUCUCUGCAGCCCUGGCUGCUUUGUAUACACACGGUCCACAGGGACCAGCCCAGGGGACAUUUGGGGCGUUUGGCAAUGCCUGGAGACAUUUUUGGAUGCCACGCCCGGGGGUAAUGCACAGCCAGUGCAUCCAGUCAGUAAAAGCCGGAGGUGCUGCUGAAUGCCCUACGAUGUGCAAGCCGGGCCCCCGGCAAAGAAUGGUCCAACUGGAGGAAUCGCCAUCCGCGUGACCGGCCUCUCCCAAGGCAGGAGCCUCCGUGGGGCACUCAGGGUGGCUCCCGGCCACGCCUGGGGUCCCUGACAGGAAGGCUCGUAUUGACAGAAGCAGCAGUCAGAAUUGCCGGAGCGCCUGCCAGGCAGCUGACUCUGCGUGGGACCAAGGUUCACAGGCUGACGCCAGCCUGCCCUCUGGACCCUCUUGAAGCCCACGCCCCUCUCCUGGCCACAGACUCCCUGGCCGCCUGAGGUGGGAGGUGGACAUUAUUCCCGGGCAGUUCCUUGCCCAGAGCUGCCGGCUCCGAGUGAGAAGCAGGCACUGUGGUCUUGUGUCGACCUGAGGGCUGGCCCCCAAAUCCUAGAAACGGGAUCCCUAUCUCCCUGCUCCCCACUCUGGAGGGCCGGCCCUGCCCCUGCAGGCCUCCAACUUCCUCUGCUGCUCCCGGCUUACCCGCUGGGCUCAGUCCCUCCCUGCCCGCCUCCCCAGUCAGCGGCCACCUCCUUGGAGAAGUUUUCCUGGGUCCCUCCCCUCUUUUCCAUUCCUGGGUCCCUUCCAGCCCCCGGCACACAUUCUGGCACCCAGAGAGUGCUCUGGGACGGUGGCAACCACAAAGAGCUAAGAAUUUGCUAGACGUACAAAGGGGCAAGAAGGAGCUAGGGCCAUUGGACAGAUGGGAGACAGGGUCCUGCCCAAGGCCACGCAGCAGUGAGCCCGUGUCUCCAGCUUCCCCUGAGAGCAAGAAUCUGUGGGCUCCAGCCUCCUGUGGGGCUCCCGCAGUCCUGCGGGGCUGAGCUCACGGUCCCCAUGGCCCCCACUCGGAGUCUAGGGCGGGUGCGGUGCUCCGCUCAGAGGCCGGCUGCAGACGGUGAGCGCACCUCACACACAGAAGACCUGGGUCUCUGCUCCCAGAAGUAGCUCCUGGCCAGGCCUGACUCUUCCUGGCUGCUCCAGAAAGCUCUUCGAGGGCCAGGAAACCAAGCGGCAGCCGGGCGUUCUCGGGUGGAGGAGCGGGUGGCCGGCUGGCCUGCUCCGGGGGUGGAGGGGGGUGCAGGGUGGCCUAUGGGCCCCUCUCUGGGUGGGGGAAGGGAGGGUCCCCAGUCUCAGCUCCGUCCCUACACAACGAGCAGGUCUUAGGCAGGCAGUUUGUCGCCUCAGCUCUCGGCCCAAACUCCAGGCCCUCGCGGGUGCGGCUCUCAGGCCGGUCCCAUCCCCCCCCACCCCCCCCCAGGGCUGGGUGCCCUGGGGCAGGUCUGCGGGCCAGGAGCAUCCUCCAGUGCCAUCCCGGCCGGCCACUGCUGUCACUCUAUCCCGGUGACCCAGUUUCCCUCCUGUCCAUGCUGGGGGGGGGG